GAUGAACGCUGGCGGCGUGCUUAACACAUGCAAGUCGAACGGUGAACACGGAGCUUGCUCUGUGGGAUCAGUGGCGAACGGGUGAGUAACACGUGAGCAACCUGCCCCUGACUCUGGGAUAAGCGCUGGAAACGGCGUCUAAUACUGGAUAUGUGACGUGACCGCAUGGUCUGCGUUUGGAAAGAUUUUUCGGUUGGGGAUGGGCUCGCGGCCUAUCAGCUUGUUGGUGAGGUAAUGGCUCACCAAGGCGUCGACGGGUAGCCGGCCUGAGAGGGUGACCGGCCACACUGGGACUGAGACACGGCCCAGACUCCUACGGGAGGCAGCAGUGGGGAAUAUUGCACAAUGGGCGCAAGCCUGAUGCAGCAACGCCGCGUGAGGGAUGACGGCCUUCGGGUGGUAAACCUCUUUUAGCAGGGAAGAAGCGAAAGUGACGGUACCCGCAGAAAAAGCGCCGGCUAACUACGU
rnacentral:rRNA from 1 species